AUUUGCUGCCUGUCAGAGUGGCUCUUUUGACAAACUAGAAGCUGUGGUCAAGGAUUUAAUAGAUGAGGGUCAUGCAGCAACUCAGCUCGUCAAUCAACUCCAUGAUGUGGUUGUAGAAAAUAACUUAUCUGAUAAACAGAAGUCUAUUAUCACAGAAAAACUUGCCGUAAGUAGGUACUUUGCACAUGUCAAUGGAACAUUUAACUACCUGAAGGAUGCUAAUUUCUUAAAUUUUUCUCGUAGGAAGUUGACAAAUGCCUAGCAGAUGGUGCUGAUGAACAUUUGCAACUCAUCAGCCUUUGUGCAACUGUGAUGCAGCAGUUAUCUCAGAAUUGUUAACGUGAAUAUAUCUGGAUGGG
rnacentral:lncRNA from 1 species